rnacentral:rRNA from 1 species
AUGGCGGGAGAUGGAAAUCUGGCACGCCAUCCCGGCGUCAAAUUAGCCUCACCCCCCUUUCACUCGCUCACCCAUAGCCACUGCCUCCCUUUCUUCCCUACUGCCUCACCGCCGGCGGCGACUGCGAUUUCAGAUCUAUGCUAUAGGCGGCAGCGGCGGCGGCGGAAGAGGCGGCGGCGUUUGCGGUGGAUCUGGUGCUCCCCUUGUUGUUGGCCACCGUCUGGUCGACCUAGUCUGUGCCAUGGCUCCCCUAUGACGUCCUCGUCUCCGAUGCCGAUAAGCAGCACCCCCUCCCCCCUUUGUUAG